GGAGGAAGAGCUCAGUGGUUAGAGCGUGUGCUUGGUGUGCAUGAGGUCCUGGGUUCAAUCCCCAGUACCUCUG
rnacentral:tRNA from 1 species